rnacentral:SRP_RNA from 1 species
CCUACGACACCGGGCGACGGGCCGGGGGCGAGCCCCACCGCAGCGAGUCGUGAAGAGCGUGAGGCGCGCGUGGCCGCCCUCACGGAGCAGUGGAUCCGAGCGAUCUUCGUCGUCUGCGUGCAGCGG